rnacentral:sRNA from 1 species
GAGUGGAAGUCGGCAAGGUGCGCCGUGGAAACGAAAGACCUUGCAGUCAAAUGGAUACUAGAAAACCCAGAACAGCUUGUAUCGAGUCUUUCGUCGCGCAUCGUUCCAACACAUUCUAAAGAACUUCAUCCGCGUCGACCAGCUGACGUCUGG